GCAGCACAGAGAAAAUGAUGGUUGUUUGACUACUGGGAGGGACUAGUGACCCAUAAAUACCACUCUCUGUCUCCAUCAAUUUUCCAUUAUGUUAUGUCGUUUGCUUUCUUUUUUUCUUUUUUUUUGUCAACUCCAUAAUGUCGUUGUUGUUGCUGUUGCUAAACGAGCUGUGUUUUUAAUCAUUCCGUUAAUCAAUGCGUGAGCAUGUUUAGCAUGGUUUAAUUGGUGAUUGGUCAUGCUUAUCUCUAUUGGCGUAUGUGUAACCCAUUUUUUUUUUCUUUUUUUUUUGGUAAAAAAUGUGUAACCCAUUGUCGUAGUAUUAUUAGUUUUAUUACCAACUAUCAGAGACUACUAGUCUACUACCAUCGGUGUAUGUGUAACCCAUAUGCUGAGACCUAGUUAAGUUAACCACUUGCUAUUCCUUCAUAAUUAUGAUAUCAAAGAGAGAUUCCCU
rnacentral:lncRNA from 1 species